GGGGACGAUUAUGACGGUACCCGUAGAAUAAGCCCCGGCUAACUUCGUGCCAGCAGCCGCGGUAAUACGAAGGGGGCUAGCGUUGUUCGGAAUUACUGGGCGUAAAGGGUGCGUAGGCGGUUUGGUAAGUCUGGUGUGAAAUCUCCGGGCUCAACCCGGAAUCUGCCUUUGAAACUGGCGGGCUUGAGUAUGGGAGAGGUGAGUGGAAUUUCCGGUGUAGCGGUGAAAUGCGUAGAUAUCUGGAGGAACACCUGUGGCGAAAGCGGCUCACUGGACCAUUACUGACGCUGAGGCGCGAAAGCGUGGGGAGCAAACAGGAUUAGAUACCCUGGUAGUCCACGCCCUAAACGAUGAAUGCUU
rnacentral:rRNA from 1 species